UUUCAACUUGCUUAGAUAGCUGAGUUUUUUAUAUGUUUUAUAGGGUGGAGGAGUUGCUGCAAAGAAGGGAGUUAUCGCAGCACCAAGACUAAUUAGCUCUACAGAGCUUGAAGACUUUCGGCCCCUCAUACAAUACCGGAAGGAUCGGGAUACAAACCUAAUGUUAGAAAUUCUCGACGGAAAGAUGCUGAAGGAUGGUUAUUUAUACAAAAAAGUGGGCACUGAUUCAUUGAGCUAUUGGGGUGUAAUGCCUACUGAAGCUGAACUCCUGAAGUUUGAACCUUCUAAAAGUGAUGGACCCCAGGAUGUAGAGUGGCUUACCCAGCUUUACGGUGACCGGAAGAAAAAGAGAAUUAUAAAUGAUUUCAAGGUUGGUCAGAAAGGAGGUGAGAAAGGAGAGGGUUCUUCAAGCUCUAGCAUGGAAAACAAUUUUGAAGUAGAUGAUCUUGUAUUUUUUGGUAGGAAUGAUUUUGGCAUUAUUAUUGGCAAGGAGAAAGAUGAUAGCUUUAAGAUCAUGAAAGAUGGUUCAGAGAGACCUGUGGUAGUGAGCAUUCAACUGCGUGAGUUGAAGCGUGCAUCUUUUGAUAGGAAGCUAUUCACCGUGAAAGAUCAGCUAACCAAUACCAUCUCAGUUGGUGAUAUGGUUAGAGUUUUGGAUGGUCCCUUGAAGGAUAGACAAGGAAUUGUUAAGCAGAUCUAUAAAGGAGUCGUCUUUCUAUAUGACCAAAGUGAGCAGGAUAAUAGUGGUUAUCUCUGUGUCAAAGGUCAGAUGUGUGAAAAAAUUACAGGCAGUGAUGGUGUAUCAAAUGAGAAGGGUAGUGAGCCUGGUCCCUCAGGUUUUGCAGAUUUCUCGUCAUCCCCUAAAUCCCCUCUUUCGCCUGAGAAAUCUUGGAGAGCGAAGGAUGAUAACUGCAGCUUCAAGCACGAUGAUAAAGAUGGAAUGUUUUCCGUUGGUCAGUCUCUAAGAAUCCGAGUGGGGCCUUUGAAGGGAUAUCUUUGUCGUGUAGUAGCCAUUCGACGUUCUGAUGUUACAGUAAAGCUUGAUUCCCGGCAAAAAAUUCUUACAGUUAAAUCUGAACACCUGGCAGAAGUUCAUGGAAAGAGUUCUAUCACGUCUCUUGGGGUCGAUGGUGAUUCUGCAAAACCUUUUGACCUGCUUGGAACACAGGAUGGUUCUCAAGAUUGGAUGGUUCAAGGGGCCACAGAAACUGAGGGUAACACCGAGAAUGCAGGAGCAUCAUCCUCUGCUGAAAGUUCUUGGCCUGCCUUUCCUGCUGUUGCUGGCUCUGGGCAAGAUGAUGGCUGGACAAAACCUGAUGGUUGGGCGAAAGGUACUUCUACUGCUGGCGCUACUAGUGCUGUGUCUGACGGCUGGGGCAAAAAGGUUGAAUCACAUCAAGAGAGCACCGAGAAGGUUAUGGAUGAUCCCUGGGGAUCUGUGCAAAAACAAGAGAAAAAUGAUGAUUCGGGCAGAACCUCAUGGAGCAAGCAGGAUGCUGGAUCUUCUUGGGGUAAGCAAUCUGAUGCAGAUCCAGAGACUGACUGGAAAAAGCAAGAUGGUGGAGCGAACAAGACAGAUAGAAAAACCUCUUGGAGCCAGCAGGACGCUGGAAGUGAUGGUGGAUCCUCUUGGGGUGCGCAAGCGGGAGUAUCUUCUUGGGGUAAGCAAUCUGAUGCAAAUGCAGAGACUGGCUGGAAAAAGCAAGACGGUGUAUCAAAUAAGACAGAUAGCAAAACCUCGUGGAGCCAGCAGGGUGCUGGAUCUUCUUGGAAGAAAAGUGAUGGUGAAGGUGGAUCCUCUUGGACUAAACAAUCUGAUGCCACUGCAGAGACUGACUGGAAAAAGAAAAAUGAUGGAUCUGGCUGGAAAAAGCCAGAUAGCAAUGCUUCGUGGAGCCAGCAAGAUGCUGGAUUUUCUUCGAAGAAAAGUGAAGGUGAAGGUGGUUCUUGGAGUAAGCAAUCUGAUGCAAAGGCAGAGAAUGACUGGAAAAAGCAAGAUGGUGGAUCUAGUAGCUGGGGUGGUGGUACGGACCUAGAGGGGAGCUGGGGAAAGCCAAGACAAUUUGAUGGAGGUCGUGGAUCAGGUGGCAGGAGAGGACGAGGUGGUUGGCGAGGGGGUCGAGAUCAAAGUGGUAGAGGAAGAUCUUUUAAUCAAGGACAGUCUAGUAGCUGGACUACUGAAGGUGAAGGCAAUAAUAAUUCUAGUAAUGUAGAAUUUAAGGGGAACCAGUCUAGUUGGAAUAGUUCGCAGGNACAGGAACUUGGUUGGGGAAAAGUUAAUGAUGACACCAGUAUUGCUGGUAAUCGAUCAUCUGAUUUUCAGAGUGGUGGUGGUUGGAAUGCCUCCAAACCAUCAAAUGAAGGAUGGUCUUCUGGUUGGAAUAAGAAUUCAGCCUCAAAGGAGGUAGGAGGUUCUAGUGGAAACCAGUCUGAUUGGGACAAAAGAUCUGGUGAAUCUGGGAGCAAGCAGUCAGCUGGUUGGGACAAUAAGAUCACUCAGAAAGAGGCAGCAGGAAACUCCUCUGCCUGGAAUAGCAAAGCUGCAGUCGAUAAUGAAGACACCAGUAUUGCUGGUAAUCAAUCAUCUGAUUUCCAGAGUGGUGGUGGUUGGAAUGCCUCCAAACCAUCAAACGAAGGAUGGUCUUCUGGUUGGAACAAGAAUUCAGUCUCAAAGGAGGUAGGAGGUCCUAGUGGAAACCAGUCUGAUUGGGACAAAAAAUCUGGUGAAUCUGGGAGCAAGCAGUCAGCUGGUUGGGAUAACAAGAUCACUCAUAAAGAGUCAGCAGGAAACUCCUCUGCAUGGAAUAGCAAAUCUGCAGUCGAACAAGAUGCCAAUGGGAAAAAUCAAAAUGAUCCAUGGAGUGGUAAAAGAACUUCAGAUGGAGGUUCAUCUACAGGAUGGGGUCAAAGUAAUUUGUGGAAGAGCGGAAAGGAUGAUGCCGUUGGAAAUCAAGAUUCCUGGAGCAGCAAAAGUAACUGGAAUUCUGGCAGUGGUUUUGGUAACAACGACCAGCAAUCUGAUUCUUAUGGUGACCGGGGAAGAGGUGGUAGUUGGAGGGGAGGCCGUGAUGGAUCAGAUCGAGGUGGAUACGGAGGUAGGGGUGGUUCAGAUCGCGGUGGCUUUGGAGGAAGGGGAGGUUUUCGAGGUAGAGGGGACAGGGGAGGUUUUAGAGGUAGAGGAUCGGAUGGGGGAGGAUUUCGUGGUAGAGGGCAUGGAAGGAGGGAUGAAAGUGGUGAUUGGCAAAAUAGAACUGAUUCGCAGGAAGAUAAAGCCUACGGUUGGAGCAAAGAGUCAGGCAGUGAUGCUGAGGGAUUUAAGUCUAAUAAGGGCAGUUGGAGUCAAGGUAACAAUGACAGAGGGAGCUGGAAGACUGCUGAUAGUAGAGGUAAUGUUAAUGAUGGUGGAUGGAAGAAAGGAUUCGACUCCGAGAAGAAUGGGAGUGGAAGUGGUACUAGUGCCACCAGUUGGAAUACUCCAGGAAAUAGUUGGAAAACUUCUACUGCUACUACGGGAGGUACAUCUUCAGGGUGGGGUCAACAGACAACUGUUAGUGAAAAGGAGGAUCAGAAUGGUUUGGGAACAAGUUGGAACCAGGGGACUGCUUCAGGAAAUGCGAGCACAGCUUGGACUGCAAACAAAUCAAAAGAAACAAGUGAUGGACCGAGUGAUGCGUGGGGUAAAACAACCAGCUCUUGGGGCAAAGGAAACAGUUCUGGCAGCCAGGGAGGGGGGCAGCAGCCAACUGUUAGUGAAAAGGAGGAUCAGAAUGGUAUGGGAAUAAGCUGGAACCAGGGAACUGCUUCAGGAAAUGCGAGCACAGCUUGGACUGCAAACAAAUCAAAAGAAACAAGUGAUGGACCGACUGAUGCGUGGGGUAAAGCAACCAACUCUUGGGGCAAAGGAAACAGUUCUGGCAGUCAGGGAGGGGGUAAGCAGACAACUGUUAGUGGAAAGGAGGAUCAGAAUGGCAUGGGAACAAGCUGGAACCAGGGAGCUGCUUCAGGAAAUGCGACCACAGCUUGGACUGCAAACAAAUCCAAUACUGAGGAUGUGAACAAAUCAAAAGAAACAAGUGAUGGACCGAGUGAUGCGUGGGGUAAAGCAACCAACUCUUGGGGCAAAGGAAACAGUUCUGGCAGUCAGGGAGGCUGGUGACAUCUUUGAACAGUCUGGUUUGAAUGGUGGAAAGAGAGGAUGUUGAAGAAAUCAAAGAAGAAAGACUGGGUUUGUUGAAGAAAACGAAGAAGAAUUUUGCUUUGCCUGUCUUUAUUUUGUUUGUUGAGUGCCACUUCAUCAGCGAUUGAGUUGCACGCACUUGGUCUUUUGUCAGGUUCCGUAAGGUUCAAUUGACAUAAUUUGAGCAUGGUUCAAGUCCAUGAUUAAGGAAGGUCUGGUUUGAAUGGUGGAAAGAGAGGAUGUUGAAGAAAUCAAAGAAGAAAGACUGGGUUUGUUGAAGAAAACGAAGAAGAAUUUUGCUUUGCCUGUCUUUAUUUUGUUUGUUGAGUGCCACUUCAUCAGCGAUUGAGUUGCACGCACUUGGUCUUUUGUCAGGUUCCGUAAGGUUCAAUUGACAUAAUUUGAGCAUGGUUCAAGUCCAUGAUUAAGGAAGGUCAGGAAGAUAAACAUCAAAGAAGAAGGUAGAAAAAACGAAAGACUAAUGCUUUGUGUCUGCAGGUCUGGUUUGAAUGGUGGAAAGAGAGGAUGUUGAAGAAAUCAAAGAAGAAAGACUGGGUUUGUUGAAGAAAACGAAGAAGAAUUUUGCUUUGCCUGUCUUUAUUUUGUUUGUUGAGUGCCACUUCAUCAGCGAUUGAGUUGCACGCACUUGGUCUUUUGUCAGGUUCCGUAAGGUUCAAUUGACAUAAUUUGAGCAUGGUUCAAGUCCAUGAUUAAGGAAGGUCAGGAAGAUAAACAUCAAAGAAGAAGGUAGAAAAAACGAAAGACUAAUGCUUUGUGUCUGCAGGUCUGGUUUGAAUGGUGGAAAGAGAGGAUGUUGAAGAAAUCAAAGAAGAAAGACUGGGUUUGUUGAAGAAAACGAAGAAGAAUUUUGCUUUGCCUGUCUUUAUUUUGUUUGUUGAGUGCCACUUCAUCAGCGAUUGAGUUGCACGCACUUGGUCUUUUGUCAGGUUAUUUUGCUAUGGAGGGUCGACCGAGUUAUCCAUGUAAAUGAUCUGGUUUUUGGCUUGUAAAAAGAACUAAAGGAUGGACUUGGUCUUUGGGGAAAGCAUAAAUGGCACUUUAGAUGCUAGAUGUAUAAGCAAUUAGACUUGAAUUGCAGAAUACCAACUUCUGAAUGUUGGAUGUUUGAUAAUCUCUUACUUAAUUUUCACUUUAGUGCAAACCAAGGAGUAAAGCUAAAGUGAAUUAAUUUAAGAACAAGAAGUAUAACCUAGGUUGGUGUAUGGUGUUUCAACAGUUUGUGUUUGGUCCAGUACCUGUCUCUUCUAGUUGUUUUAUUUACUUUUGUUUGAUUACUUA